rnacentral:lncRNA from 1 species
AGCAAGAUAACAAAAACAAAAAAGUAUUGUGGUCAAUUUGAGAAAAUCAAAACAAUUAAGAGGGGAAAAGAUUUUGCCUGCUCCAAUCUCCGUCACUACCGGAGAAGCAAAACCGCUCGGAGGUUCCCGCCGGCGACCGCCACCUUACGACGUCGUACCGCAGAACCUCACAAGACCCUAAUCACAAGAAAUCUCGAUAUAUUGUUCCAUUUUAUGAUCAGUUUUAAAGAUGAGUAGGCUCUAUGAUGGGUGGAAUGAGAUUUUAAAGAUUCAGAAGUUCCGAAGAGCAGUGGGAAAAACUAUAUUCUUUUCUUUCUCGGCGCUCAUUAGCUAUGCAUACAACUCGAAUACGUACGUAUACCGCUAUUGAUUGCAUUUGAAAGGUAAGGUUUUAUAAUCUUCUUUGUUUUCCCUCAUUUAAUCUUGCAGGACAAGAGCUGGGUUUUCCAGAGGUGAUCAAUUUUAUGCAUCAUAUCCUGCAGGGAGUGAGCUUUUGACCGAUACUACUAAGGUAACUUGUAUCAUAUUGUUCUGGAAAAAAAAUUGUUUGUUAAUCAGAGUUUUGAAAGCUUUUAGUUUGUGGUUAGUUGUAUAAAUCUGCACUGGGGAAUUGUUUUGAAGUGGAAGAAUGGGGCCCGAUUGAAUGGUCCAUAAUGGCUAAACAUUUCGAGCGUCAAGGGAAAUCACCGUAUGCAUAUCAUGCUCAAUACCAGGCUCACAUUGCCUCUAAUGGACAUCUUGAUGGAAGUGGAUGAAGCCAAAAUCCAGCAUGAGAAGGAGACAAGAUUUUGUUAACGUUAGUUGUUCUUUAAUUCCAAAGUAUAUGUUUCUCAACACUCAUACUACAUGUUGGCUGCCAUCUUCAAGCAAUUUGAACAAACUAACUGAUCAAUAAAAGCCAUAGAUCCAUUUAGUUUAGUUAUGGGGGUGUUUGGGUUUGAUCAUAUAAACACAUAUCCUAUCUACCUAUUUUCUUAUAAAUAAAUAAAAGAUUAUUAUUAUU